rnacentral:tRNA from 1 species
GGUUCUAUGGUGUAGUGGUUAGCACUUUGGACUUUGAAUCCAACGACCUGGGUUCGAAUCCCGGUUGGACCU